rnacentral:rRNA from 1 species
CCAGGUUGAUUCUGCCUGACGUAGACGCUAUUCCCUAAGAUUAACCCAUGCAUGUUAUUGAUUUUUGAAAAAUGGACUGCUCAGUAAUACUCACCUUAUUUUAUGUAUACUUAUUAUAACUACGUUAAAGUGUAGAUAAAAUGUAUACAGUAAGAGUGAGACCUAUCAGCUAGUUGUUAAGGUAAUGGCUUAACAAGGCAGUGACGGGUAACGGUAUUACUUUGUAAUAUUCCGGAGAAGGAGCCUGAGAGACGGCUACUAAGUCUAAGGAUUGCAGCAGGGGCGAAACUUGACCUAUGGAUUUUAUCUGAGGCAGUUAUGGGAAGUAAUAUUAUAUUGUUUCAUAUUUUAAAAGUAUAUGAGGUGAUUAAUUGGAGGGCAAAUCAAGUGCCAGCAGCCGCGGUAAUACUUGUUCCAAGAGUGUGUAUGAUGAUUGAUGCAGUUAAAAAGUCCGUAGUUUAUUUUUAAGAAGCAAUAUGAGGUGUACUGUAUAGUUGGGAGAGAGAUGAAAUGUGACGACCCUGACUGGACGAACA